rnacentral:rRNA from 1 species
ACGAACGCUGGCGGCGUGCUUAACCCCUGCAAGUCGCACGGAAAGGCCCUGCUUUUGUGGGGUGCUCGAGUGGCGAACGGGUGAGUAACACGUGAGUAACCUGCCCUUGACUUUGGGAUAACUUCAGGAAACUGGGGCUAAUACCGGAUAGGAGCUCCUGCUGCAUGGUGGGGGUUGGAAAGUUUCGGCGGUUGGGGAUGGACUCGCGGCUUAUCAACUUGUUGGUGGGGUAGUGGCUUACCAAGGCUUUGACGGGUAGCCGGCCUGAGAGGGUGACCGGCCACAUUGGGACUGAGAUACGGCCCAGACUCCUACGGGAGGCAGCAGUGGGGAAUAUUGCACAAUGGGCGGAAGCCUGAUGCAGCAACGCCGCGUGCGGGAUGACGGCCUUCGGGUUGUAAACCGCUUUCGCCUGUGACGAAGCGUGAGUGACGGUAAUGGGUAAAGAAGCACCGGCUAACUACGUG